rnacentral:pre_miRNA from 2 species
UGUGGAAUUGCUGGGUCAUAUGGUAACUCUGUUUCGCCUUUUGAGAAACUGCCAAACUGUCUUCCAUAGAGACUGUACCAUGUUACAUUCCCACCAGCAAU